rnacentral:lncRNA from 1 species
GUACAAACCACACAAAAACAUGUAAAACAAUCAACAAACAAACAAAACAAAAUGAAUAAAAAAUAUAGUAUCCAGUCCAAUUAUACAGUCCAACAUAAAAAAAUGCAAAAAUAUAAAUCCUAUUCUAAAUUAAUCCUAAACUAUGCUCCGAUUCUUUACCCGAUGUUCCGGGCCUUGAUCACGAACCUCCUUUUCGUACAUGAUACGUCAGGGAAUUCCCCAGAUAAAUCAAUACAAAUACCUAGAGGCAUUCCCCGGCCAAAUAAAUAUAUUUUUAGUGCGAGAAAAUCGAACUAUUCAACAAAAUUUCAAACAUUCCACGGAAUUUCAAACAUUCAAUCAAACAGAGCUUAGUCCUUAAUUUGACUACCCGAACCUACAUUGGCCUAUUCAUUUCAAUGUCUCAUAAUAAUAUCACGUUUCAUAUCAACAAUCAAUGAAACUUGAUCCGAAUCUAACCUUUUCGUUAAUUUUCAAUUCCACCCCCUAACUUCUUUUUUUAUCAAUCGCCAUUAAAACAAGAUCAAAUUCAUUCCUCAAACCACCAAAAUCGAAUUAACAAACAUCAUGAUCAUAGCAUCAACAACUUCAAACAAUCAUAAUCACCCAACAAAGAAAUAAAAAGAUGAAAAGAGUAGAAUUGGACCUCAAUUUGAAGCUUUCGAGAUUUAGUAUUAACUGGGUAAAGAGACGAAACCCGUGACCGAACCUCGAAUUGACCUCAAUCGACUAAAUCCAUGGGAACAUCCCGAAACUCAAUCCGAGAAAGACACCACGAAGAACAAACGAAUUGGUGGCCGGAAUUAGCAUUUUUUUUGUAAGGUUUAAACUGAAAAUGAAGAAGAUGUGGCUGUCGACAUGGGUUUGGUCGGAAUAGAGUCAAAAGUGUCGUUCUCCGGUAGGUUUCGUGGUAGCAGUGACCUAAUAGUGGUCAUCGGAGUACUUGGUGAUGAUUUCGGUAUGUUUUCGGUGAAGAACUCAUCGAAAAUAGUCCGGCCAACCUGUUUUCUCCCUUUCUUUCUUGAUUUUAGCUCUCACUCCCGAUUUUCUCUCUUUUUUGUGGGUAUCUUCAGUGAGAGAGAACGUGUGUGUGGAUUGGUGUGUGAUGGUGUUGAUGAUGAAGAGGAACCCCCCCCCCCUCCCUUUUUGAUUUGUUGUCUAUUCUGUGUGUCCUAUGUAUUGCUCUUUCCAUGGAAAAUAAAAGAAUCAGUUAUGGUCCCUCUUUAUUUGGAAAUCUUAUCCUUUUCUGGAGUGGGUGUCCUUUUUCAACCCAAAAAAAAUGCAUGUGUUGCUAAGUAAGGUGUAUAUGAAUUGUGGGGGGUCCACUGUGUAUGCGUGAAUCAACCAAGAAGACACCCAACUCCUUUU